rnacentral:rRNA from 1 species
UACGUAGGGAUGCAAGCGUUGUCCGGAUUUACUGGGCGUAAAGCGCGCGCAGGCGGCCCUGUACGCUGCCGGGUGAAAGCUCCCGGCUUACCUGGGAGAGGUUCGGCAGUACGGCAGGGCUGGAGGGUGGGAGAGGUCGGUGGAAUUCCCGGUGGUAGUGGUGAAAUGCGUAGAGAUCGGGAGGAACGACCCGAUAGCGGAAGGCGGAC